GCCCGGGUGGCUCAGUGGGUUGAGCAUCUGACUUCUGCUCAGGUCACGAUCUCACAGUCCAUAGGUUCAAGCCCUGUAUCUGGCU
rnacentral:tRNA from 1 species